AUGUCACUGCCUUGCACAUGUUCUACUCUUCUAUCUAACUCAUCAGGUUUCAGCACUGCAAUGCCUGACUCCUGUUCUGCUCUUCUAGCUUCCUUACUAGGUUGCAGCAUUACAACGUCGCUGCCUGGCUCCUGUACUACUCUUCUAGCUUCCUUACUAGGUUCCUCAUCAUCUUUCAGCAUUACGGUGUCGCUGGAUGGCUCCUGUGUUGAUUGUUGGAUGCAUCCGGACACUGGGUUAAUGACAUCUCCAGCCAUUUUUCCUUCAUUCUUUUCCACAUCAACUGCUUGGCGAUUCCUUUUCAUGAACUUCCUCUUGUUCCAUUUCUUCUUGAAACCGCCUUUCUUCACCUCAAGUGGUUUUGGGAUUUCAAUUGGCUUUUUCGCGGUCUCCUUAACUUGCCUUUUGCCAGGAACUACAAUAUGCUUUGUGGCACCACUUCCGCGACCCUCUAGUUGA
rnacentral:rRNA from 1 species